GACGAACGCUGGCGGCGUGCCUAAUACAUGCAAGUCGAGCGGACGAAUCGAAAGCUUGCUUUUGAUUCGUUAGCGGCGGACGGGUGAGUAACACGUGGGCAACCUGCCCUGUAGACGGGGAUAACACCGAGAAAUCGGUGCUAAUACCGGAUAACACGAAAUGUCGCAUGACGUUUCGUUGAAAGACGGCGCAAGCUGCCGCUACAGGAUGGGCCCGCGGCGCAUUAGCUAGUUGGUGAGGUAACGGCUCACCAAGGCGACGAUACGUAGCCGACCUGAGAGGGUGAUCGGCCACACUGGGACUGAGACACGGCCCAGACUCCUACGGGAGGCAGCAGUAGGGAAUCUUCCGCAAUGGACGAAAGUCUGACGGAGCAACGCCGCGUGAGCCAAGAAGGCCUUCGGGUCGUAAAGCUCUGUUGUUAGGGAAGAACAAGUAACGCAGUAACUGGCGUUACCGUGACGGUACCUAACGAGAAAGCCACGGCUAACUACGUG
rnacentral:rRNA from 1 species